rnacentral:rRNA from 1 species
CACGUAGGGGGCGAGCGUUGUCCGGAUUUAUUGGGCGUAAAGAGCUCGUAGGCGGCUCGGUAAGUCAGGUGUGAAAACUCUAGCUCAACCUAGAGACGCCACCUGAUACUGCUGUGGCUAGAGUCCGGUAGGGGAGCAUGGAAUUCCUGGUGUAGCGGUGAAAUGCGCAGAUAUCAGGAAGAACACCCGUGGCGAAAGCGGCUCUCUGGAACGGUACUGACGCUGAGACGCGAAAGCGUGGGGAGCGAACAGG